UACGGGGGGAGCAAGCGUUGUCCGGAAUCACUGGGCGUAAAGGGCGCGUAGGCGGCCUGGUAAGUAGGGGGUGAAAUCCUGCGGCUUAACCGCAGGGCUGCCUUCUAGACUGUCAGGCUUGAGCACGGUAGAGGCAGAUGGAAUUCCCGGUGUAGCGGUGGAAUGCGUAGAGAUCGGGAAGAACAUCAGUGGCGAAGGCGGUCUGCUGGGCCGUUGCUGACGCUGAGGCGCGACAGCGUGGGGAGCAAACAGG
rnacentral:rRNA from 1 species